rnacentral:lncRNA from 1 species
UGCCUUCGUGAAGAACUCUCUCUACCUCUCUCUGUCAAUUAACCCUCCUCCUCUCUUCUCUGUGCCCGUGUCUUUUCCGCUUCAUUCUCUUAAAUCCCUUCAAUUCCUUCCCCAAUUUCACAAAGUGCCAUGGCUGAAUCACUGAAGCUUCUAAAUCACGUGCCGCGCAUGUACUUGUGAGAGAGGCCUUUCCCCUGUAUCUUUGACUGGGACCUUUGUCAACCCAUUGUCGCAGCUGGUGAUGCCAGUGAUGAGGGGGAUACGGUGCUCCGAUGUCUCGCUAGCGAAGUCAUUGGGAUUAAGGAUAUUCAAUGUGAAGUGGGUUUUGCCCAGAACACAGGAGUUCAAAACGCAGAGUUCAAAUUGGAAGGGUGAGAGAGAAAGGAGGAGGAGAGGGAUGGUUGCGGUGCGAUGGUGGUGAUCUGGUUCUUCAAGUUCCAUAUUUGUUUUUAUUUUGGAUGAUUUUAGAUACGGUUCCUAUUUAUCAACGUUCUUUGAUUUAAACAUUGUUGUUUGAUUUUUUAUUUAAAUCUUUAAAAUUAAUGCAAUAAUACAAUUCUACCUAGGUUAUUAUAAUUUUUAAAUUAAAAUUUGAUAUUUAUAGUUAUUUAUAUUAAUAAGAUUUUAAAUAAAAUUCAUAAUUUGUUGAAAAUAUUAAAAAGAAUUAUACUUAAAUAAAAUCUAUAAUUUGUCAUUAUUUAUAUUAAUGACAUUUUACAUAUAAAUAAUUGGUAAUUUUAUACUAUACAUUUUAUAUACAAAAAGUUGGUACAUUUUACAGAAAAAAAAGAUGAUACGAUACAUUUCAUAUGAAAAAACAAUGGGAUAUUUUCACGUGUCUUUAAUGAUCUUAAUUUAAAAUUCGGAAAGGAUCCACAUGUUUUCUCCUUUUCUUUUCCGCGUGACCCUCUCUUUCCCUUCCUCUCUCUUUCCUUUCCGCGUGACCUCUCUCUUUCCUCUCUUUCCCUUUUCUUCUCAAUUAUUUUCCACAUCUCUCUCCUUCACAUACUCUCUCUCUCUCUCUCAUCUUCUCUCUUCUUCUCCCUCAAACCGAAGCUUUCACUUCUCCUCUGCAACCUAAGACAAAUCACCAAAGUCGACGAACCGACGUUCAAAUUACCACCAUCGUACUCCUUUCAUCCUCACGAACUCAACCAUAUAGACGGAAUCAAGAACAAGUGAGUUUUGGAAGUCGAACUCGGAAGCUCCGAUCGGUUCGAAAUUUUCCCGACGAAUUUCCGGGCUAGUUACAAGGUUUUGGAAGGUUUAGAAGUCACCACACAACUCCCCAAGGUCGCUAGUACAAGUUUGAAGACAAGCGAAUGUGAAAAAGCACGAGUUCGAAAAAUUAAAGUUUGUGCCGUGAGGUUCCAAGCCAUUUUCAAACAAUUUAUCCAUAAAUAUAAAUAUAUCGAAUGUAACAUUUCUAACACUAAAUAAAUAAUUUAGAAAUAAAAUUUAAUUAUCUUAAUAUGUAAAAUAUUUUAUUAUUGAAAUAAUUAAUGGUGUUUAUUAAAAUCAAGAGACCUUGAUUAAAAAUUAAAAAAGAAUAAGAUUUUAAUCAAUAGAGUUGAAAAAAAGAGAGAUGAAAACCUAAUUUCUUUUUUUAUUUUUAUAUUUUAUUUUUAAUGUUGUUAGGUGAGUUAACAGAAUUUAAAGGGAAGUUAGUGGUAAACAGGCGUCAAAAUAUGAGAGGCCACGUAAAAUUUUGAAUGCAAAAGAUUUGAACUCGAAAAGGAAGGUGAGGUGAGCAGGUAUGGGAUAAUAAAAGAAACGCGCUUGGAAGUAGGUUUGGUCACUUCUCUCUCUUAAAUACUAGUGUUUGUACCCGACCCCACCAUCCCCCAUUUUUUAAAAUUUAAUCAAAAAAUUUGAUGUGUGUGAGAAAUAAAACAAGAUGUCUAGAUAUCACAUUUCUAUUUCUUUUAUUUGGCCUUGUCUAAGUGCGCGGAGGGAGGUCCCAUCCCAUGUGUCCCUUCUAUGGCCAUUUACCAUUGCCGUCCACUAGCACUAGCAAACUUCCUCCAUCAGGAGGAAAUUCCAUCUCUCUCUCUUUUAAGUCCUCCACUAGGGAUAUACUAUAACCUUUCUUCCGUUUGAAUGCAGAUUGUUUCUGCGCUGAAAGUGCGCAAUUUCGUCUUUAUAUUUUUUUAUGUUUUGUGUUGUUUUAUCUCUGAUGACUCUCUUGGAACACGCGUACAUUUUAUUUUAUUUUUUUCCUAAAGGCAAAUCAGAUAUAUUAAAUUCGAAGAGAAAGGUUAGCAUCAUGGGUCAGGGUGUUAAACAAAAAUUCUGGCCCAAUACAAUCCCAAACAAACUCUCUACCCUCCUUAAAAACAAACUUGGCCACCGAGUGAGCAGCAGGAUUGCUCUCUCUAGGCGCGAAGAUGAAAGACACGGCAUACAUUUUAUUGAAAGAUGCUUUACAGAAAAUGCUUUUGGACAAACUUCUCUUUUAAUUAAGCAUAUUUAAAAGAAAAUUUUAAAGCAACAGCAUUAUCAAUUAUAGAGCAUUAUCAAUUUCACAAAGUGCCAUGGCUGAAUCACUGAAGCUUCUAAAUCACGUGCCGCGCAUGUACUUGUGAGAGAGGCCUUUCCCCUGUAUCUUUGACUGGGACCUUUGUCAACCCAUUGUCGCGGCUGGUGAUGCCGGUGAUGAGGGGGAUACGGUGUUCCGGUGUCUCGUUAGCGAAGUCGUUAGGGAUUAAGGAUAUUCAAUGUGAAGUGGGUUUCUCCCAAAACACAGCAGUUCAAAACGCAAAGUUCAAAUUGGAAGGGUGAGAGAGAAAGGAGGAGACGGAUGGUUGCGGUGCGAUGGAGGUGUUCUGGUUCUUCAAGUUCCAUAUUUGUUUUUAUUUUGGAUGAUUUUAGAUAUGAUCCCUAUUUAUCAACGUUUUAAACUUUAUUGUACUAUUUUCUAUUGAAAUUCUUGAAAUUAAUGUAAUAAUACAUUUUUA